GAAAUAGUUAACAAAUUGAUUAUUUAAGUUAAUUAAGUGUUAAGAUUAAUUUGAUAAUUAAUUAUGUGAUAGGGGCUAAAAGUAUAGCUGAAUUAAUAUGGGAUUUAAAUAAAAAAUUUCACGGCUGGUAUUUUUAUAAUUAAAUAUGUCGGUACAAACAUUUUAGUAAUAUUACUAUUAAAAGCAAAGCUAAAUAAAUAAUUUCAUAUUUUUAGUAUUUCUAAUUUAGCUCAAAUAUACAAUUAGGGGUAAAAUUAAAAAGGAUUAACAACUUAAGAAGGGCCUAACAAAAAUAAACCAGGGCCAAAGAUGAUAAAUAAAUAAUUAGGAGGACAAAGUGUACAUAUAGGACGAAAAAGAAAGAAAAGAAAGAAAGAAAGAAAAAUAAGGACAGAUAAGAAGAAGCUCGACAGCAGCAGCAACGACAACAGUUGCGAGCGGCGAGGGGCGGGGAAAAAUAGGGAAGACGACAACAGCUUAUCGCUGCCAUGCAGGGCGAUUUCGACGUCAUUUGUGGUGCUUCUGGUCUCAAAAUGACCAUCAGCUCGUGGGCUUUCAUUUUCAUUCAUCAUCAUCCUUUAAGGCUGCCGAAAUAUCGAGAUCCGGCAAGAUAAGCUCAUGAGGACAAUUUGGGUUUUUCUUGAUUUCUAGCAAGGUAUGGCUGAUCAGAGUUCAUGAAUGAACUCCCCUAGUCACAAGUUUUCAGAUUACACUUGUUUCUUAGCAAUCAAUCACUAUUGAAAAAUCGACGGUUGAAACUGUUCGCGAUGUAUUGGGAUGAUCGAGGGCUGGAUCGGAGAAUCAUAUGCUAGAAUCAUCAUCUAUACAUCAUGUCGAGUUUGUAAGAUGUUUUCAGAUUAUCAAUCGGACUCCGGUGGUUGGAGGCGAGUCGACCGAUUUAUCAAGUAUUUCGUAUUAUGCAGGAUGUUAAGAAUCAUAUCAUAUUAGAAGUCAAGCAAUUAGAGCUUCGAGUUGCUAGACUCUACGGUCCAGGAAAGUAAAAAUAAAAGAUUAGAUAGUUAUGCCUAGAUCAGGCAGGGCCAUUACAGAGUAGUUCAGCCAAUUUCAAUUCUCACAUCAAUAAGAUUAUACUAAAUUUUAGUCUGUGUAUUAAGUUACAAAAAUCCAGAGUUUCAUACAUAAUAUUGCCAAAAUAAAAGAGUAUUGACUGAAUCAUAAAAUCUA